rfam:Saitoella complicata NRRL Y-17804 DNA, contig: contig001, whole genome shotgun sequence.
GGCUCCUUGGUGUAGUGGUAUCACAUUCGCCUCACACGCGAAAGGCCGCGAGAUCGAAACUCGCAGGUGUCA